GGGCCAGUGGUGCAAUGGAUAAUGUGUCUGACUACAGCUCAGAAGAGUCUAGGUUCAGCUCCUGGCUGGCUUU